CUGGCCAUGGGGCAGCACGUAUCUGACGGUCGCUGGCUGCAAUCACCACACCCAACCGUGCUCGCUCGGUCUUGUCGCAUCUGCAUCGAGGGAGAGGACGACUAUGCACAUGUAUCUCAAGACCCUCACCAAGAUGGCUCUGUGGCUGCCGACACAAUCUCUGACACAACUUACCACAGCCCCUGAUAUUUUCUUCUUUAUGGAGCAUUGUGAAAGUAGAGACUUUGAGCAAGUCUAACCAAUCACCCGCCUUUCCGAAACCGGAAGCAGCAAGCACCAAUCACAGGCGAUAACACGAACGGCCUUGUUUACUUCCAUCAACUGGCCAUGGCGGCACACAUGUUUCUUGUGCCCGGCAUCACCAACUUGCUGGUUCUGUCUGGUCAAAUCUCCAUCGCUGGUCAGGGACAGCUGCCUGCUGACCCAAUGUCACACAACCACGGCCCUCUCCCCCCUGGCUCCCACUCCCAAGGAAACAGUUCUUUGUCUCAUCUUUUUGUAUCUUUAAAAUCUCUUCUUUUUUCUAAACACGUAACCUUAAAAAUAAUAACGUUGUCGGCUCUUGUCAUUCGUGUUACUAGUAGAUUGUAUCCAUGGUUACAGUACUGUACUUUUUCUAGCAUCCUGAAUGAGGAGAAGAUCACAUAUUAACGUCUUAUUUAUAAAUUUCCAUUAAGUUCAAUUUGUAGUUUAUUUCUAUGAUAUCUGGGCAUUAAUUUUUGCAUCGUAAUUAUGGUUUAUCAUUCUUCCUUUGGCUGUCAAUUAGUUGUGUUCCUUGUGUUGGACAUUGUUGCAGACCCAGACUAACAUGGCUGUGCGGCCACCAACAUGACCUCUCCACAUGCCCUCCGGACACAGCCUCCUGACACAGCCUCCGCACACAGCCUCCCGACACAUCCUUCUGACACAUCCUUCUGACACAUCCUUCUGUCACAACCUCCUCACAGCCACUUGAUAUUUACUUCUAGAUGGAAGAUUUUGUAAGGUAGGUGAUUUCUUUACCAUGGUAGCCACUGUGAUCGCCU